ensembl:lincRNA Gm26507 predicted gene, 26507
GGAAAGCUGCAGAAGUCACCAAAGGAAGCAGACUAGCGAACAAAAGUCACCCCCAAAAGAAGAGGAGGGUCUCCUCGGGGCUCGUUUGGGGCAGCUAGGCGCGGGCGGUGGCUGCACAGCCCGGCGGAGAUAAUCGUCAUCUGCAUCUGGAAGCACAUCGCUUACUGGGUCUCCACUCCACCCUGUUGACAGCGCUAUUUGCUUCAUUCUAUACAAGGAUGUCCCCUGCACAAAGCCAGGUGCCCUGAUUCUUAGAAUGUAAUGGUGGCCCACGCUAUUCCGUUCAGCUUCCUACCCGAAAACAGAUACUGAACUUCCUGUCUGAGUUAGGAUUUUAUUGCUGUGAUAAACACUACGAAUGAUCAAAAGUACUUGGAAAGAAAAGAGUUUAUGGCAUCCUACAGCCUGCAGUCCGUUAUCCUGGAAAGUCAGGCCAAGAAUUCCAGGCAGGAACCUGGAGGCAAGAACUAAGUGGAAGCCAUAGAAGAAUGCUGCUUCCAGGCUUGCUCCCCAUGCCUUGCUCAGACUUGCUUCUUUCUCCUACAACCUGGAAGUCUGUGAGGGUGUGUUACAUAAUAAAUUUUAAUCAAAGCAACACAAACAAAUGGUCACAAAAUAAAUCAUGCAAAAAUAUUUCCUUAAGAAACAACUGAACCCAGCUCCAGGGUGAUUGGACCCAACGUCAUUCCCCAAAGGCAUCUUUCUUUUAUUGUGUAAAUGGAGAGAAAAAUGAUGUACUGUGAAAUGUACCUAUUUUAAGUGUAUUGUGUGGACUGUGAUGAUGGCUCAGAGUCCUGUCACUCUCUCUGUUAAAAUAGAGGGUAUUUGCAUCACUGAGAAAAGAUCGCUCAUGUGAUGACUCAGCUAAUUUUCUCACCCCUAUCCAGGAGGCACAUUAUGUAUGCAGUGUUGCAUGCUAGGCUAGCUUGCCUCUGGUAGAACAUAUAAACAUAUGAAUUUAAUCAUACUGUAUGUUCUCUUAGUUUCUUUCAUAUAGCAUGGAACUGUAACUAUUUCUUAUUGUAGUCAUUUUCAGUUUGCUCCUCAUACAGUAUUUAGUUUCCUGGCUUGCUUAGUAAUUAUACUGUGGGAACAUUUCAAUUAGUGCCUAUUCAUAUUAUAAUUUCUCCAUUUGCUUGAUGAUAGACAUGUAAGCUUUUUCUCUGUUUAGCCGUACUGGGAUUUUGAUUGAAAUUUCAAUGAGUUUGUAGACAGUUUAGAAGAGUAGCUGUCUCAGAAGUACUUGAUGUUUGAAUCAGUGAGACACUGAACAACUCUGAUUAAGUCUUUGUUAAUUUCUUUUAGUAAUAUAAUCGUUAAUAGUUUGUUAAGUUUAUCGUAUGUAUUUUGAGACCCUUUGAUGCUGUGGAGAACAGUAUUAUUAUUUCUAUUUUCCUUCUCUUGUUC